UGGGGAAUAUUGCACAAUGGGCGCAAGCCUGAUGCAGCCAUGCCGCGUGUAUGAAGAAGGCCUUCGGGUUGUAAAGUACUUUCAGCGGGGAGGAAGGGAGUAAAGUUAAUACCUUUGCUCAUUGACGUUACCGCAGAAGAAGCACCGGCUAACUCCGUGCCAGCAGCCGCGGUAAUACGGAGGGUGCAAGCGUUAAUCGGAAUUACUGGGCGUAAAGCGCACGCAGGCGGUUUGUUAAGUCAGAUGUGAAAUCCCCGGGCUCAACCUGGGAACUGCAUCUGAUACUGGCAAGCUUGAGUCUCGUAGAGGGGGGUAGAAUUCCAGGUGUAGCGGUGAAAUGCGUAGAGAUCUGGAGGAAUACCGGUGGCGAAGGCGGCCCCCUGGACGAAGACUGACGCUCAGGUGCGAAAGCGUGGGGAGCAAACAGG
rnacentral:rRNA from 1 species